rnacentral:ncRNA from 1 species
UUAUUGGAGAGUUUGAUCCUGGCUCAGGACGAACGCUGGCGGCGUGCCUAAUACAUGCAAGUCGAGCGGAGCUGAUGAGGUGCUUGCACCUCAGAUGCUUAGCGGCGGACGGGUGAGUAACACGUAGGCAACCUGCCCUCAAGACUGGGAUAACUACCGGAAACGGUA